UUCAUUCCUCUCAAACCACGGGACCUUCAAAUAGCGAAAAGCUUGUUGUCCUUGGGGAUUUUACAGGAGAAGUAUAGAGAAGAAGUUGAAAUGAUGGUUGAGAGGGGUCAAAGAGCAGAGAUUGAAGCUCUCUAUUUCCAUGGAUUUGAUUUCUUGGGUAAGUACUUGGCAAAGAAAAUUGUUCAAGCAAGCUACAUAUGAUAUA